UAGGGAAUAUUGSUCAAUGGAUGCAAGUCUGACCCAGCCAUGCCGCGUGCAGGAAGAAGGCCUUCUGGGUUGUAAACUGCUUUUGCCGGGGGAUAAAAUUCCCAUGCGUGGGACAUUGAAGGUACCCGGUGAAUAAGCCACGGCUAACUACGUGCCAGCAGCCGCGGUAAUACGUAGGUGGCAAGCGUUGUCCGGAUUUAUUGGGUUUAAAGGGUGCGUAGGCGGCCUAUUAAGUCAGUUCUGAAAUAUCCCGGCUUAACCGGGAGGGUGGGAUUGAUACUGAUGGGCUUGAGUGGAGUCGAGGUAGGCGGAAUUGACGGUGUAGCGGUGAAAUGCUUAGAUAUCGUCAAGAACACCGAUAGUGUAGACAGCUUACUAGACUUCAACUGACGCUGAGGCACGAAAGUGUGGGGAUCAAACAGGAUUAGAUACCCUGGUAGUCCACACUGUAAACGUUGAUUACUCGCUGUGUGCGAUAUACAGUACGCGGCUUAGCGAAAGCGA
rnacentral:rRNA from 1 species